rnacentral:rRNA from 1 species
GACGAACGCUGGCGGCGUGCCUAAUACAUGCAAGUCGAGCGAAUGGAUUAAGAGCUUGCUCUUAUGAAGUUAGCGGCGGACGGGUGAGUAACACGUGGGUAACCUGCCCAUAAGACUGGGAUAACUCCGGGAAACCGGGGCUAAUACCGGAUAACAUUUUGAACCGCAUGGUUCGAAAUUGAAAGGCGGCUUCGGCUGUCACUUAUGGAUGGACCCGCGUCGCAUUAGCUAGUUGGUGAGGUAGCGGCUCACCAAGGCAACGAUGCGUAGCCGACCUGAGAGGGUGAUCGGCCACACUGGGACUGAGACACGGCCCAGACUCCUACGGGAGGCAGCAGUAGGGAAUCUUCCGCAAUGGACGAAAGUCUGACGGAGCAACGCCGCGUGAGUGGUGAAGGCUUUCGGGUCGUAAAACUCUGUUGUUAGGGAAGAACAAGUGCUAGUUGAAUAAGCUGACACCUUGACGGUACCUAACCAGAAAGCCACGGCUAACUACGUGCCAGCCGCCGCCGUAA